rnacentral:misc_RNA from 1 species
AGAGGCAUGACUUAUCUUCACAAUGAGCCUAAUGUCAUUAUCCACAGAGACCUAAAACCAAGGAAUGUUCUUUUAGUCAACUCCAAUGCUGACCAUUUGAAAGUUGGAGAUUUUGGACUAAGCAAGCUCAUCAAAGUUCAGAAUUCUCAUGAUGUUUACAAAAUGACUGGCGAGACAGGGAGCUAUCGGUAUAUGGCUCCUGAAGUUUUCAAGCACCGGAAAUAUGAUAAGAAG